rnacentral:rRNA from 1 species
UACGAAGGGGGCUAGCGUUGCUCGGAAUCACUGGGCGUAAAGGGAGCGUAGGCGGAUAGUUUAGUCAGAGGUGAAAGCCCAGGGCUCAACCUUGGAACAGCCUUUGAUACUGGCUAUCUUGAGUACGGGAGAGGUGAGUGGAACUCCGAGUGUAGAGGUGAAAUUCGUAGAUAUUCGGAAGAACACCAGUGGCGAAGGCGACUCACUGGCCCGUUACUGACGCUGAGGCUCGAAAGCGUGGGGAGCAAACAGG